rnacentral:rRNA from 1 species
UACGAAGGGUGCAACGUGCUCGGAAUUAUUGGGCGUAAAGCGCACGUAGGCGGCUUUUCAAGUCCCAUGUGAAAUCCCACGGCUUAACCGUGGAAGUGCAUGGGAAACUGGAAAGCUUGAGUACUUAAGAGGAUCGCGGAAUUCCCGGUGUAGAGGUGAAAUUCGUAGAUAUCGGGAGGAACACCAGUGGCGAAGGCGGCGCACUGGACCACACUGACGCUGAGGCGCGAAAGCUAGGGGAGCAAACAGG